rfam:Aedes aegypti strain Liverpool supercont1.891 genomic scaffold, whole genome shotgun sequence.
GGCUCGGUAGCUUAGUUGGUAAAGCGCUCGUCUAGCAUACAAGAGUCCUGGGUUCAAAUCCCAACCGAGCAC